UUACGGCCAUAUCAUGUUGAAACACCGGUUCUUGUAUGAUCUCCGACGUUAAACAACAUCAAGCCUGGUCAGUAACUAGAUGGGUGACCGCUUGGGAAUAUUAGGUGCUGUAAG